CCUACGGUGGACAGCAGUGGGGGAUAUUGCACAAUGGGGGAAACCCUGAUGCAGCGACGCCGCGUGUGGGAAGACGAUCCUCUGGAUUGUAAACCACUGUCCCCAGGGACGAAGAUGACGGUACCUGGGGAGGAAGCUCCGGCUAACUACGUGCCAGCAGCCGCGGUAAUACGUAGGGAGCGAGCGUUGUCCGGAAUUACUGGGUGUAAAGGGAGCGUAGGCGGGACUGCAAGUUGGGUGUCAAAUCUACCGGCUCAACCGGUAGCCGCACUCAAAACUGCAGUUCUUGAGUGAAGUAGAGGCAGGCGGAAUUCCUAGUGUAGCGGUGAAAUGCGUAGAUAUUAGGAGGAACACCAGUGGCGAAGGCGGCCUGCUGGGCUUUUACUGACGCUGAGGCUCGAAAGUGUGGGGAGCAAACAGGAUUAGAUACCCUAGUAGUC
rnacentral:rRNA from 1 species